UACGAAGGGGGCUAGCGUUAUCCGGAAUUAUUGGGCGUAAAGAGCUCGUAUGCGGUUUGUCGCGUCUGCCGUGAAAGUCCGGGGCUCAACUCCGGAUCUGCGGUGGGUACGGGCAGACUAGAGUGAUGUAGGGGAGACUGGAAUUCCUGGUGUAGCGGUGAAAUGCGCAGAUAUCAGGAGGAACACCGAUGGCGAAGGCAGGUCUCGUGGGCCAUUACUGACGCUGAGGAGCGAAAGCGUGGGGAGCGAACAGG
rnacentral:rRNA from 1 species